GAUGAAGAACGCAGCGAAAUGCGAUAAGUAGUGUGAAUUGCAGAAUUCAGUGAAUCAUCGAAUCUUUGAACGCACAUUGCGCCCUUUGGUAUUCCUUAGGGCAUGCCUGUUCGAGCGUCAUUUCAAACUUCAAGCCCCCCUCAUGGCUUGGUGUUGGGCGUCUGUCCUCCCGGGACUCGCCUCAAAUGCAUUGGCAGCCCGCCGUCCCGUGUGGGAGCGCAGCACAUUUUGCGCUCUCCGCUGCUGACGGUGGCAUCCACAAGUCUACCAUUUUACGCUUGACCUCGGAUCAGGUAGGGAUACCCGCUGAACUUAAGCAUAUCAAUAAGCGGAGGA
rnacentral:misc_RNA from 1 species